AGCCUGGGCUGUGCCAGCUUACAUGUGACCAUGAGUCUUGAAAUGAUAGUUGAGAAUGUAAAAUUGGCUCAUGAAUAUGCACUGCUGGGAAACUAUGACUCUGCAAUAGUCUACUAUCAGGGAGUUCUUGACCAAAUGAACAAGUACCUGUACUCAGUCAAAGAUACAUACCUCCCUCAGAAAUGGCAACAGGUUUGGCAGGAAAUAAAUGUGGAAGCUAAGCAUGUUAAGGAUAUCAUGAAAACACUCGAGAGCUGUAAACUGGACAGCACUUCUUUGCAAGCUGCAUGAACUUCCAGCUGCUGAAGGAGAAGUCUGGUCCUUGCCUGCACCUGUUGAGAGAAGACUCUCACCAGGACCUAGGAAACGCCAGUCUUCUCAGCACAGUGACCCUAGGCCACACAGUAACCAGCCAGGCACAGUCGUCAGAGCUCAUCGGCCAUCUGCACAGAAUCUUCACAAUGACAGAGGGAAAGCUGUUUGUAGUCGUGAAAAGAGAGAACAGAAUAAGGGAAGAGAGGAAAAGAACAAAUUACCUGCUGCCGUUACAAAACCAGAGGCAAAUGAGCCUGAUAGCGCUGGAUCUGACGAGGGCUUAGUGGAAGCUUUGGAAAGAUAUAAUUUCUCAGAAUCCCAGCGUUCGGUGGUGUGAUAUUGCUGAUUUAGUAGAAGCCAAAAAGUUGCUUCAGGAAGCAGUGGUGUUACCAAUGUGGAUGCCAGAAUCCUUUAAGGGCAUUAGGAGACCAUGGAGAGAUAUGCUGAUGGUUGGCCCACCUGGCACUGGAAAGACCCUUGCUAAAGAAGUUGCCACAGAAUGCAAGACAACAUUCUUCAAUGUCUUUUCAUCAACUCUGACUUCCAAAAACAGAGGAGAGCCUGAGAAGCUUGUCUGUCUUCUGUUUGAAAUGGCUCGGUUUUACUCCUCAGCUACCAUAUUUAUUGAUGAGGUAGAUUCCAUUUGCAGCAGCCAAGGAACUUCUGAAGAGCAUGAAGCCAGCUGAAGGAUGAAAGCUGAGCUGCUGGUUCAAAAGGACGGUGUUGGAGGUGCCUCAGGAAAUGAUGGUUCUGGAGGCUACUAAUGUCCCAUGGGACAUAGAUGAGGCUGUAAGGCAUCGUCUGGAGAAAAGAAUCUAUAUUCCAUUACCAUCAGCAAAAGGCAGGGAAGAACUGUUAAGAAUAAGUCUACGAGAGCUGGAAUUGGCUGAUGGUGUUAACCUUGCGAGCAUAGCAGAAAACACAGCAGGCUACUUGGGUGCAGACAUUACCAAUGUAUGCAGGGACGCAUCCUUGAGAGCUUUGAGACGACGUACUGAGAGUCUAACCCUAGAAGAAAUCUGGAACCUUUCAAGAGACGCAAUGCAUAUGCCUACCACCAUGGAGAAUUUUGAAAUGGCUUUUAAGAUUUCUAAAUCAGUAUCAGCUGCAGAUAUUGAAAGAUACAAGAAAUGGAUAGUUGAGUUUGGAUCAUGCUAGCUAUGUUCACACAUGGAAACUGUGAGGAAUCUGCCUUAAGUCUUUGAAAAAUAAUUAAAU